UACGUAGGGCGCGAGCGUUGUCCGGAAUUAUUGGGCGUAAAGAGCUCGUAGGCGGUCUGUCGCGUCGGAUGUGAAAGCCCGGGGCUUAACCCCGGGUCUGCAUUCGAUACGGGCAGACUAGAGUGUGGUAGGGGAGAUCGGAAUUCCUGGUGUAGCGGUGAAAUGCGCAGAUAUCAGGAGGAACACCGGUGGCGAAGGCGGAUCUCUGGGCCAUUACUGACGCUGAGGAGCGAAAGCGUGGGGAGCGAAC
rnacentral:rRNA from 1 species